GAUUAUUUAUUUUAUUAAAAAUAAAUGUUUUGAAAACAUUAGAAAAGUGUAAUCUCACUUAAUAAUCA
rnacentral:tRNA from 1 species